GUGCUCGAUUUGGCAGUACAUAUACUAAAAUUGGAACGAUAGCUCCUGCGCAAAGAUGACACGCAAAUUCGACAAGCGUUCCAUUAAAAA
ensembl:snRNA U6 U6 spliceosomal RNA